rnacentral:rRNA from 1 species
GAUGAACGCUGGCGGCGUGCUUAACACAUGCAAGUCGAACGGAAAGGCCCAAGCUUGCUUGGGUACUCGAGUGGCGAACGGGUGAGUAACACGUGGGUGAUCUGCCCUGCACUUCGGGAUAAGCCUGGGAAACUGGGUCUAAUACCGGAUAGGACGAUGGUUUGGAUGCCAUUGUGGAAAGUUUUUUCGGUGUGGGAUGAGCUCGCGGCCUAUCAGCUUGUUGGUGGGGUAAUGGCCUACCAAGGCGUCGACGGGUAGCCGGCCUGAGAGGGUGUACGGCCACAUUGGGACUGGGAUACGGCCCAGACUCCUACGGGGGGCAGCAGUGGGGAAUAUUGCACAAUAGGCGCCAGCCUGAUGCAGCGACGCCACGUGGGGGAUGACGGCCUUCGGGUUGUAAACUCCUUUCGCUAGGGACGAGGCGUUUUUGUGACGGUACCUGGAGAAGAAGCACCGGCUAACUACGU